GACGAAGGUGGCGAGCGUUGUUCGGAAUCACUGGGCAUAAAGCGCACGUAGGCGGCGACGUAAGUUGGGUGUGAAAUCCCUCGGCCCAACCGAGGAGCUGCGCCCAGUACUGCGUUGCUUGAGGAUCCAAGGGGUGCAUGGAAUUCCCGGUGGAGCGGUGAAAUGCGUUGAUAUCGGGAGGAACUCCGGCGGCGAAAGCGGUGCACUGGUGGAUUACUGACGCUGAGGUGCGAAAGCCAGGGGAGCAAACGGG
rnacentral:rRNA from 1 species